GCUGCAAGACCGUGAACCCUUCAUCUCCAUCCUUUCCCUCACUUCAGCGCUUCACACACAUCUCACCAGUCUCAAAUACCAGCUUCACCCCACCGGCGCACUAGAAACCCAACUCUCUUUCCACCUUCCCUCACCCAAGUAUCCAUCUCCUUCGACAGUUGCUCUUGCCCACACAAAACGCCCUAUCCCUUUAAGAUUAAGGGCUACAGAUAUUGCAGUUGGCCAAGAGAGAUCCCGACUACAAUUAAUGGCAUUAGGGAAAUAGAAAUUAAGGGUGUUAGGGAGACAAAGAUUAUACCAACAGAAAUUACAGUUGGCCAAGAGAAUUCCCGAGUUGCAAUUAAGGGCGUUAGGGAAAUAGAAAUUAAGGUGUUAGGGAAUCAAAGAUCAUACCAACAGAAAUUGCAGUUGGUCAAGAGAGAUCCCGAGAUACGUGGGUGUGAGCCAAUUGUAAAGAACAUUAGUCCUUGCAGAGUACAUUAGUUCAGUGAAGUUAGUGAAGUUUGUUCUUCAAGAUUUUGUGAAAAAGAAAGGAGCUAGAAACAAGGACGAGGAUGAUUUGCAAUCAAAUAAAA
rnacentral:misc_RNA from 1 species